AGUACGGACAAUGAUGAUAAUAUUGAUAAAAUCGGUAUCAAAAUGUUCAGUUUUGUCAGUGUGAUGUGGGGUGGUGACAGGUAUUGUAGAUAAUUAUGACGAUAUGCAAUGAUAUGUAUCUAGUAUGAUAAUGUUAUUAUGGUGUUGAUGAUGCUGAUGAUGAUGACGGUAUGGUGGAUAUUAUGAUAUUAUGACGAUAUGACAAUAAUGUUGUUCAUAAUGAUGAUGUUUAUGCUAUUAUGAUAAUAUGGUGAUAUUCAGUUUGUGUUUAAAUGAUCAUAACGAUAUGAUGAUGAUGAUGGUAAGAUGAUGAUUUGGUGACAAUAUGGCGUUGAUAGCGAUUAAAUUACGAUCAUAAAUAUGAAAUAGUUAUGAUUAAUGAUGAUGAUAAUGAUAUAACAUGACGAUGAUAUGACGAUACAAUAAUGCUGAGAGGAAAAUGAUUACCAUGAUGGUACGUUAUAAGAAUAACAUGAUAUGAUAUUACACGAUAAUAUGUUUUGAUUACGAUGAUGAUAUGGUAUAACGAAUCAGUUAUGAUCUUUGUGAUGGCAUGAUAAUGAUGGCAAUAAUGAUUGUGAUAUUACGAAAUGAUAAUGAUAUGAAAUCAUGUUGGUACAUUAUAGUACUUUAAGGACGAUGGUGAUGUCGUUGAUGGUAAAGAUGACAAUGGUGAUAAUAUUCUGACGAUGAUAAGACAAUAAUGGCGUUUUAAUAUAUUGUAAUAAUUAAGUAUUUCAGUUUGCUAGCAAUACUCCAACAUUAGGGGGAAACAUCAGGUAAAAUGAAUCAAAGGUAAAAGUACAAGAGAACAUGUCGUCUAGUUUCAGCUACAAAUAUAAAGGUAACGGUUAUGGUAAAACAGAAUACAGAUUGAACGUCAUUAUAAAUGGUAAAAAAGUAUCUUGUUUACGUCUUAAAUUAGCGAAGGUGAGUUAUUUCUUUUAUUUACCCUAAUGUAAUGCAGCGUUCUGUGUUUUGAUUGGACGAAUUUUAUUUCAUAAAAUAUUUAGUGUCCCUCAAUACACAUGUGUCCGUAUGUGCAUUUCGGUAUGGCAUAUAGCAAUUUAUGAACUGAGGUGAAUAUUGAGCAAUUCGCCUCACUUUCUCAUCGGCUGUGAAUGGAGAAAUCUCUGCCAUUUGCCAAUUUCUUCAUGGUCAGUCUAUAAAAUAGGCUUCUGCCACUUUGCGUUGCCUGUAAGUUGCUAUGCCAUUUAGCUAGUGAUUGUUCUUGUGUUCAUAUUCAUUUCUUAAAAUUUAAACAUGCUAUAUGCCAUGAUAUCAAUGAAAUAAAGUCGCGGCCAUUUCCCAUCUA